AGUUUCAUGGCGGCCCGUACCCUAAACCGACUCAGGUGGUCUGGUAGAGAAUACCGAGGCGUUCGGGUGAACUAUGGUUAAGGAACUCGGCAAAAUGCCCCCGUAACUUCGGGAGAAGGGGGGCCACGCCUGGUGAUCACUUUUGCAGUGUGAGCUGGGGGUGGCCGCAGAGACCAGCGAGAAGCGACUGUUUACUAAAAACACAGGUCCGUGCGAAGCCGUAAGGCGAUGUAUACGGACUGACGCCUGCCCGGU
rnacentral:rRNA from 1 species